UCGCCACACGGCCGGACCGCACAGGCGCGGCACUUCCCGAACUGCCCCCAAGAAAUUGCGAGAUCGGACGGCCAAGCGCAACGCACCGCCCGCGAAUUCCCCGAAAUUACCCUGCUUUUGAGCUUUUCCCUCUGCCAACCUCAACGCCGCCGGUCUGGGUCGACCGGGCGCAGAAUAUUGGCCUGCGGCGGCGGCGCCUCCACAUCUCGUCUCUCGGAUCGGGAGGUGAAACCAAGUAUUAAAGUUGUUGCUUUUACAAGAUAUCCCACCAUGGCCAACAUCAGAGUAGUCUCCAGCCUUGGUGAUGUUGCCACUGAGCUGCAAAAUCUGCAUAUCACUGAUAUUGCUCAGGUUAAUAAUGGCCGAUUUCAAUUGGAUGAGCAAGCACCCCUUCAAGAUGCAGCAAAUAUGAAGGUGAAGACCAGACCAGGAAAGCAUGGAUUUGUAUUAGUUAAUCCAGAGCUGUUGGAGUGCAAGUAUCAUGCCAAGAUGGCACUAGAGACGUCAUUCAACCGCAUGCUAAAAGCUUCCAUGGAGUGAAUUGAUCAAGAGCUGCAGCCAAUUGAAGCAGGCAUCGCAGCACUGAGGGUCCUUGUGGGCUACAAUGACCAGCAAAUCCCACCAAAUGGACCUCCACUUAACCACAGAAAUCGUGGUGUGCAACAUUGCAUCUAUCCGUGCCCUCCCUAUCAAAAUGCCUAUGCUACAGCAAGAGAGGGAUGCAGCCGCUGCUCGUGAUAGGCGUGCCCAAAGGGCCGUCUGGGAGGCCAAACUCCGCAUUUUGGAGGCAAGGCAAUCCAUCUUGAAAGAAUUAAAGGCUGAGAUGUGGUCAAAGAUGAGGUCAGAGUUCGAUGAGAUGAUGGAGCAAAGAUCUGACUUAGGGAUUGGUUAUGCUGAGUAUGAGUUCCCUCCACUGGCAUAGGUGUUCGGCAAGCAGAAGGUCAAGCAUGUGGUCAAGAAUAAGACUCCGGAGGUGGCGAAGCCGGCAACAGCUGAGACUCACUGAAGUGGUUCUUAUCGUCUUUUGGGAAAACAAAUGUAAAUGAUCUUUGGAGGUGUUCUACGGUGACGAAAACUUGAGACUUCGUUGGUCGCAGAAACUAGUAUGUUAGUAUGUCUUGCUAGCUGUUCGAAGUAGUGGUGUGGGCAUCGUUGGUCCAGUAACUUGUCAUGAGAAUUAUUUGUUUCUGGCUUUCUGCAUCAAGUUACUGAGCCCAUUUGCAAUGAUCUGGUAUUGUUGCUUA